UACGGGGGGGGCAAGCGUUGUUCGGAAUUACUGGGCGUAAAGGGCUUGUAGGCGGCCAACUAAGUCAGACGUGAAAUCCCUCGGCUUAACCGGGGAACUGCGUCUGAUACUGGAUGGCUCGAGUGUGGGAGAGGGAUGCGGAAUUCCAGGUGUAGCGGUGAAAUGCGUAGAUAUCUGGAGGAACACCGGUGGCGAAGGCGGCAUCCUGGACCAUAACUGACACUGAUAAGCGAAAGCCAGGGGAGCAAACGGG
rnacentral:rRNA from 1 species